GGGCCCAUAGCUCAGCGGUCAGAGCAGGCGGCUCAUAACCGCUUGGUCGCAGGUUCGAAUCCUGCUGGGCCCACCU
rnacentral:tRNA from 2 species